CCUACGGGGGGCAGCAGUAGGGAAUAUUGCUCAAUGGGGGAAACCCUGAAGCAGCAACGCCGCGUGGAGGAUGAAGGUUUUCGGAUUGUAAACUCCUUUUGUUAGAGAAGAUAAUGACGGUAUCUAACGAAUAAGCACCGGCUAACUCCGUGCCAGCAGCCGCGGUAAUACGGAGGGUGCAAGCGUUACUCGGAAUCACUGGGCGUAAAGAGCGCGUAGGCGGGAUAGCAAGUCUGAUGUGAAAUCCUAUGGCUUAACCAUAAAACUGCAUUUGAAACUGUUAUUCUAGAGUAUGGGAGAGGUAGGUGGAAUAAGUGAUGUAGGGGUAAAAUGCGUAGAGAUAAAGAAGAAUACUCAUUGCGAAGGCGACCUGCUAGAACAAAACUGACGCUGAUGCGCGAGAGCGUGGGGAGCAAACAGGAUUAGAUACCCGGGUAGUC
rnacentral:rRNA from 1 species